UUCAGGAAUGGGGAAAGUUUGUCCAGCAGGCUAAGAUAAAAGCCUCCAAGACCCAUGCAAGGCACAACUUCCAGAAGCGGAAGUACAUGCCACGACUGGGAUGCUGACACCGAUUGGUUGGUUUCUCCGUCCUAUCCACUACUGACCUGACCAGGAAUCCCAGCUGCAGUCCGUGUAAUAGCCGCAGGGCACCAUCCCCGACCGUGG